ensembl:antisense Dnmt3aos DNA methyltransferase 3A, opposite strand
CAUUUCAUGUCUGGGAUGGAAGUGUGAGCUCACUGCUCUCUGGAGAGGACCCCUGAGAAGUGGCAAACCCAGAGUCUGACUGCCACCUCCUGAGGGACCAGCAGUUGGACUGUUGAUCCACCAGUCUAUGCUUCGGGCUCUUCACCUGGGAAAGAGAACAUGCUGAGGAGAUGCGUUGCUGUCUGCCCCAGCAGCUGGGGGUUCCGGAGGCUGCGGCACAAGGAGGAAGUGCCAGCUCCCACACCAUGUGUCUGACCCACCUCAGCAUGGAAACUUCCUCUGUCAGUCUGUCACUCUGUCACUCUGCAAGGUUAAGGCUUCCCCUGCAGAGCGGCCCGAGAUCAUCCUAGAGGCUUCCUUCUUACAUGAGGAUCAUACAGCCUCCGUACCCAAGGACUCACUUCCUGUUGGUACCAACUCCGUAGCCUUGGGAGCCGGGAGUGCUAUCUCUCUGCCUGGCCUCAGUCUUUCAAGCACACUGUUGUCUCUGAAGACAACAGCACGGGCCUGAGACAGACAUUCCACGUGUCACUGCUGACCAACUUCGGAGGCACUGUGCACAGCUGCAGGAGAAGCAUGGGAGAGGAAAGAGCAGCAGUGAGGGCCUUCUCCUCUGCAGAACUAGGCAGAGGGAUGCUCACUAAUGACCCAGAAUCAGUCAAAUCUGGUCCCUUUGCCAUUGUCUGCUUCCCCCACCAACAUGCAUCACUUUGGGUCUGUCAGCCCUGCCAUCAGCCUAUGCUCAGCUCUGAAAGCCCUCAUCACACAGAUGGCAGAUGUGGAGAGCGGCUGGGUCCAACCUCACCCCAGGAUCAGUAGAGUCCACUGUGGCUCACACCCCCAGGAGUUCUCAGAGUUUGCUGACCUUUGUCCCCUGCCAGAAACGAUCCUGUUCCUGUCUCUAAACACCUCUCCCCUGCUUCCCUGCAGUCCAGCACCCUCCUCAGCCUCUGCUUCAUGAAACACAUUUUGAGCAGAGUUCAUGGGUGGUUCCUGCCAAUGGAAACACCACUGCUCCCCUCAGGACAUUUGGCAAUGUGGCAGAAGAUUGUUUUGGUGUCACGUGUCAUGUGCUGGCAACUAGUGGACAUAGGUCAAGGAUGCUGUUACAUGCUCUAACAUCUACCAUGGCUAGCAUUAAGGAAUACAUUAAAAAGAAACAAAACAACACAAAAACAAACCUAACAACAACAACAACAACAAAAAACUUCUGCGAUAGCUGGCUGUGGUGAGCCAGACCUGCAAAGCCAGCACUUGUGAGACUAACAUAAGAGGUUUGCUACAAGUUCAAGGCCAGGUCUGGGCUAUGUAGGGAGACCUUGUCUCAAAAAAUAAAAAUAAGCCGGGCGUGGUGGCGUACACCUUUAAUCCCAGCACUCGGGAGGC